rnacentral:rRNA from 1 species
UACGUAGGGUGCAAGCGUUAAUCGGAAUUACUGGGCGUAAAGCGUGCGCAGGCGGCUUUGCAAGACAGAUGUGAAAUCCCCGGGCUUAACCUGGGAACUGCAUUUGUGACUGCAUGGCUGGAGUGCGGCAGAGGGGGAUGGAAUUCCGCGUGUAGCAGUGAAAUGCGUAGAUAUGCGGAGGAACACCGAUGGCGAAGGCAAUCCCCUGGGCCUGCACUGACGCUAAUGCACGAAAGCGUGGGGAGCAAACAGG